rnacentral:rRNA from 1 species
UACGGGGGGGGCAAGCGUUGUUCGGAAUUACUGGGCGUAAAGGGUGCGCAGGCGGCCAAGUGUGUGAGGCGUGAAAGCCCGGGGCUUAACCCCGGAAUUGCACCUCAAACUACAUGGCUAGAGCAUUGGAGAGGGUAGCAGAAUUCACGGUGUAGCAGUGAAAUGCGUAGAUAUCAGGAGGAACACCGAUGGCGAAGGCAGGUCUCUGGGCUGACACUGACGCUCAUGCACGAAAGCGUGGGGAGCAAACAGG